rnacentral:misc_RNA from 1 species
GAUGAAGAACGUAGCGAAAUGCGAUAAGUAAUGUGAAUUGCAGAAUUCAGUGAAUCAUCGAAUCUUUGAACGCACAUUGCGCCCGCCAGUAUUCUGGCGGGCAUGCCUGUCCGAGCGUCAUUUCAACCCUCAAGCCCCCGGGCUUGGUGUUGGAGAUCGGCGAGCCCCCCGGGGCGCGCCGUCUCCCAAAUAUAGUGGCGGUCCCGCUGUAGCUUCCUCUGCGUAGUAGCACACCUCGCACUGGGAAACAGCGUGGCCACGCUGUAAAACCCCCCACUUCUGAAAGGUUGACCUCGGAUCAGGUAGGAAUACCCGCUGAACUUAAGCAUAUCAAUAAGCGGAGGA